CUCCCCAGCGAUGGGCAAAGAGACACGUUGCUGGGCGUGUUGUUCUUAUAUCAGUAAAGGGAAGAGCAGAUGGCAAUUCUUUGUUCAUCCUAGCUUGAUGCCUGGCUUGGUGUCUAAAGCUGUUUCACGACUAGUGCACAUUA